rnacentral:tRNA from 1 species
GCCGACUUAGCUCAGCGGAAGAGCAACUGUUUUGUAAACAGUAGGUCGUCGGUCCGAAUCCGACAGUCGGCU